rnacentral:rRNA from 1 species
UACGUAGGGUGCAGGCGUUAAUCGGAAUUACUGGGCGUAAAGCGUGCGCAGGCGGUCUUUUAAGUCAGAUGUGAAAUCCCCGGGCUUAACCUGGGAACUGCGCUUGUAACUGGCAAGCUUGAGUGUGGCAGAGGGGGGUGGAAUUCCACGUGUAGCAGUGAAAUGCGUAGAGAUGUGGAGGAACACCGAUGGCGAAGGCAGCCCCCUGGGCUAACACUGACGCUCAUGCACGAAAGCGUGGGGAGCAAACAGG